rnacentral:piRNA from 1 species
UGAGUCAUGAGGAAGAGAUAGGACCUGC